UACGUAGGGUGCGAGCGUUGUCCGGAAUUAUUGGGCGUAAAGGGCUCGUAGGCGGUUUGUCGCGUCGGGAGUGAAAACACCGGGCUUAACUCGGUGCUUGCUUUCGAUACGGGCAGACUAGAGGUAUGCAGGGGAGAACGGAAUUCCUGGUGUAGCGGUGAAAUGCGCAGAUAUCAGGAGGAACACCGGUGGCGAAGGCGGCUCUCUGGGACGGUACUGACGCUGAGACGCGAAAGCGUGGGGAGCGAACAGG
rnacentral:rRNA from 1 species